GGGCCGCUAGCUUAGUGGUGGAGCGCCGGUCUUAUAAACCGGAGGUCGAGGGUUCGAUCCCCUCGCGGCCCA
rnacentral:tRNA from 1 species